rnacentral:rRNA from 1 species
AACGAACGCUGGCGGCAGGCUUAACACAUGCAAGUCGAACGCCCCGCAAGGGGAGUGGCAGACGGGUGAGUAACGCGUGGGAAUCUACCCAGAACUACGGAACAACUGAGGGAAACUUCAGCUAAUACCGUAUACGCCCUACGGGGGAAAGAUUUAUCGGUUCUGGAUGAGCCCGCGUAAGAUUAGCUAGUUGGUGGGGU